rnacentral:rRNA from 1 species
AAUGGGCGAAAGCUGAUGCAGCGACGCCGCGUGAGGGAUGACGGCCUUCGGGUUGUAAACCUCUUUCAGCAGGGAAGAAGCGAAAGUGACGGUACCUGCAGAAGAAGCGCCGGCUAACUACGUGCCAGCAGCCGCGGUAAUACGUAGGGCGCAAGCGCUUGUCCGGAAUUAUUGGGCGUAAAGAGCUCGUAGGCGGCUUGUCACGUCGGAUGUGAAAGCCCGAGGCUUAACCUCGGGUCUGCAUUCGAUACGGGCUAGCUAGAGUGUGGUAGGGGAGAUCGGAAUUCCUGGUGUAGCGGUGAAAUGCGCAGAUAUCAGGAGGAACACCGGUGGCGAAGGCGGAUCUCUGGGCCAUUACUGACGCUGAGGAGCGAAAGCGUGGGGAGCGAACAGGAUUAGAUACCCUGGUAGUCCACGCCGUAAACGUUGGGAACUAGGUGUUGGCGACAUUCCACGUCGUCGGUGCCGCAGCUAACGCAUUAAGUUCCCCGCCUGGGGAGUACGGCCGCAAGGCUA